GUGACGGGGAGCGCGUCGUUGCAGUCUUAACAUUUUCUCUUGUUAUCCACGUCCUCUUUGUCAGCCUCCACCUUUUCUUGUCCCUGAGUUUUCUGCUUCCUUUUCUGCAUGAACUUACACAUAUCGUCGUCUCCUUUUACUUCUUCAUCCUUUUGCUUUUCAGUCGUGAUGGUCCUCGUCCAGCUCCUCGCCACCUCACCACACGCCACCACCUUCCCUGUUGAUGCUGCGUCAACUUUAUUGUUACCUGUCGAACUUCAUUGCAGUCCUCGCCGUUGCAUUCCCACAUGCGUCGCUGUCAUGGCACCCUGGCACCCUACAGCCACAACUGCUGCUGCUGUCUUUUAUCCUGUAACAGUCCUAGCGAGGUGAAGGAGGGACGCUUGCUUCUGCGGCAAACAGAAGCAAUCCGCGAGGACGACAGGAAGGUGCGAACGUUUGAGGUGGAUGAAAAUAAUUAAUUAAUUGCUCAAUAUGUUGCUGACGAGCAGUCUUCAACGUUCGCACCGUGUCGUCCUCGUGGGUUGCCAUCUUAAACGUUUAACCUUCACCACUUUAUCAGAAGCCGCCUCCUUUACUAACAAGUAGGGACUGAAGAGGCAAAGAGGACGGGGCUGAUCAGCAAACGGAUGGAGAAACCAAGAGUAUACCAUCUCGUGUCUCCAACCCUACGGAGUGGUUGUAAGCACCGAGCAGAAUCAGGGAGCCAAGACGCAAGUAUGGGGAUAGCCCGCGAAUGCCCGGCGAUGUCUUUAGUACGAAAACUCUGGGAGGGUGAAGAGGCACGUGGCAUUCAGCGGGUGAGAACUCGCAUGUUGCUGGAAGACAAGUAAGUGUUGCAACUAUGGACAUCUACCACCAGAGCGGUAGCCGGCCAUUACGAAUUACCCACACCAUUUUGAGAUGAAGAACCGGAUCUGCCAAACAACAACAACGAGAUGGCGCAGAAACGCUUGAAGGGACAGACGACGCCUCGCUAGGGAUUCGGACUUCAGACGACGAUAUGCAGGAGAGAGAGAACAAUUGCUGUUAAAGAGCGAUGCCAGCGUCUGAACGUGAAGGACCACGAGGAGUAACCUGGUGCCUGCCUCACCAUCCACUCAUGAACCCAAACAAACCUGAGAAAGUGAAGGCUUUGUUUGCGCAGCGAAGUACAACAACGUUUCCCUCAAAGACUGAGUGAUGCAGGUUCCUGACCUAAAGAGCAAACUGGUGGGUGCCCUUCUGCGUUUCCGAAGUGAACGGAUUGCCGCGAUGGCUGAUGUGAAGGCAAUGUUUCUCAUCAAGCUGGCGUGACGUCACCCCUCUUCACCGAGACUCCUUAAGAGAUUCCUUUGGUGGAAAGAUGGGAACCUAAGGAGGGUACGGCGCGCCUACCGAAUGACGGGUAUGUCUUUUCGGGUGUGUAUGGAGUCCCUCCUGUGCUGCUUACUCAUUGCAACGAACUUUGACCGACUGUGAGGAAGAAUAUCGCAUAGCUAGUAGUUACUGAACAUGGAGGGGCUUGUACGUAGACAACUUACUUCUUUCAGUACCCUCCACCGAAAAGGCCUCCAGAUUUACUCGCGAUCUUCGGCUCACAAAGAGAGGAUUUCUGCUAAGUGGGUUAGUAGUAACCAUAAGGAGACAUAGUACAGUACUGUGUCCUACAGAGAGAGACAGGAAUAAGAAUAGAUCUGAGUAAGGACGCACUGGCUACAAAACGGGAUCUGGAAAGGGAUCAGUCAAUCAACUAGCUGUGAGGGGAGUACUGAGGGUGAGCAGCUCCGUUCAUGACCCUCUUGGACUGGUCAGUCCUGUAAUGAUUAAGGCGAAGGCGAUAAUCAAUUAAGGCGAAGGCGAAGAUCUUUCAGGACGAGUGCAGCCGAUAAGGAAGGAUGGAUGACCCCCUCCUAAAUCACCACAGGUCCUAGUUGGUUGGCUUGGCUGGAGGAGUUACCAGGACUGACGGUCUUUCAAGUUCCCCGAUGCUACAGGCGGGAGGACAUGGGAGAUGUUUUAUCACUUACCAACUGCAUCAUUUCAGAUCAAACAGGCUGAGAUGGUGAUAUUAAGAGUUGUUCAAACCACAACGUCCAAAGAGGAGAUGAACAUCCUAAAGUCAAAGUCAAAGAAAAAAAAACUACAGAGGAAACAUUCCAUCUGUCGAGUGGAACCCCUUCAUGGGUGAGGGUGGAUUUUAUACUCCAUGUGGACGGCUGGACCACGCACCGUUGCCUGCUACAAGUCGGUAUCCCAUUUCCAUGCUCAUACGGAGAGAGAUCAUCAUAUCACAAAAUUGAUUCUACAAGAGUGCAUGAGGACUUACUUAACAGUUCACGCAGGAUGGGAGCAUGUUACGUCACACUUACUGGAUUCCACACACACCACCUGCCUGAGGACCGAGAGUAACCCCCAUGCUGGCACCAUUCUCGUCAGCUGGAGUGGAUUGCUUCAGACCGUUCUUGGUCAAAGUGGAAAGAAGCAGAGUGAGUGAGUGGGAUGCCUCCACGUGCAUGACUACACACAUAAGAACAUAAGAAAUAAGGGAAGCUGCAAGAAGCGACCAGGCUUACACGUGGCAGUCCCUAUAUGAAAUAUACCUACCUAUUUUCUAUUUAUUAUCCCUAUCCAUCCAUAAAUCUGUCUAAUCUUCUCUUAAAGCUCUCUAGUGUCCUAGCACUAACGUUGUUAAACUUGAUUUACCGAGUCCGUUCCACUCAUCUACCACUCUGAGAACCAAACCUAAACCUAAAUUUUUCAAGCUUGAACCCAUUAUUUCUUGUUCUCUACCCUGGUUGCUGAUCCUAACAAUUUUGCUUAUACCACUUAAAAAGACUGACUUUUUAAUAAAAGUAUCAGGUCCCCUCUUAAAAUAACAUCUUUCUAAAGAAUGUAAAUUUAACAGCUUCAAUCUCGCCUCGUAAGGAAUACUCCUCAUCCCCUGUAUCCUUUUAGUCAUUCUCCUCUGUACUGAUCUAUAUAAAAUACAUCUUUCUAAAGAAUGUAAAUUUAACACAGCUUCAAUCUCGCCUCGUAAGGAAUACUCCUCAUCCCCUGUAUCCUUUUAGUCAUUCUCCUCUGUACUGAUCUAUAUAUCUAAUAGAGACCUAUAUCACAGCGUAGUCUACAUGAGGUCUGACCAGCGAGCGCCAAGUAUAAAACUUUAAUAUCACUUCCGGCCUUCUACUUUUAACACUCCUAAAAAUGAAUCCUAGUACCCUAUUUCACCUGUUUCUCAAGACGGAGUUCAGAGCUAUAUAACUCCUAAAUCUUAUCCAAAUCUGCCUGCAAGGCGAUGGCAUCCGAUUCUGACCUAAUCUUGCCUAUCUGUGUCAUCCGCAAAUUUACUAACAUCACUACUAAUUCCACUAUCCAAGUCAUUGAUGUAUACUAUAUUAAAAAGAACAAUGGCCCUAAUACUGAUGAUCCCUGUGGCACCCCACUCGGAUUUAGAGCCGUUUAUUACAAACAACUCUUUGUCGCCUGUCGCUUAGCCAUGACCUUAUCCAGCCUAUCACCCUCCCCCCAUCCAUCCCGUGUGCCCUAACCUCUCUCAGGAGCCUCUGAUGGGGUACCUUAUCAAAGGCUUUACUAAAGUCCAGAUAUAAGAUGUCAUAACCAUUAACAUUAUCUGCUGCCUCCUACACCCUACUGUAAAAACUUGACAAGUUUGUCAGGUAAGACUUCCCCCUUCGUGAAGCCAUGCUGUGACUGAUUUAUCAAGUCAUGUUUGUCUAAAUGUUCCCUAAUGUUCCUUGCUAUUAUUGACUCUAAUAUCUUACCUACAACUGAAGUUAAGGUUUUAUCUCCUUCCUUAGAGAUGGGUACUACAUUAGCCUGCCUUCACAUUACUGGUACCUCACCCGACUCAAGUGAUUUCCUAAAGACAGAAACUAACGGCUCACUAAUAAAGUAAUCUCUUUGCAUUCCUUAAGUACUCUGGGAUAUAUUUCAUCAGGUCCUGGUGACUUGAACUUUUUUAGCCUAUCUAUCUCCUGGUCCACUAUCUCCUCAGUUAUGGAAAUAUGUCAGCUUCUCAUUCUCGUCUGCUCUAAACACCUGUUCACUAUCUGGCAUAUCCUGCAUGUUUUCCUGCGUGAAGACAGUUAAAAAAUACUCAUUCAGAAUCUUACUAAUCUCCUCCCCAGAACUAACCAGCUCCCCAUCUGCUGCCUUUAAUGGACCUAUAGUAUCCUUAUUUUUCGUCCUGGUCCGUCUUCGCCUGGAUACCUUUAAUUCAUAAUUGCCCUUUGCUUUCCUCGUUAACUUCCUGACUGUUCUAACUAAUCCAUUAUAUUGUGACCUUAAAACUUCAUCACCUGACCUUAAUUUCUUAUAUAUAUAUAUGUACUUCUCUUCCGCCCUAUAUAAUGUUUUACCCAGCAGUCAUCCAUUUAGGGUAAUUUUUCUGUGAUCUUACUGCUCAAUACGAGAUAUUUGCUAACUGACCUGUAUGAACUUUACAAAAUAUUUAUACAAUUCAUCUACAUUUACUUCACCUAAUCCCCUCAUCUCGGCCCCUACCAUCCUCUCCACUCCCUCCUCUACUCGCCUUGACCUCACCUCUCUCAUUUCACCAUGACCUGACAUUCCAACACACUCACACUCCCACUUCCUCUUUCCUCCUCCCUUCCGGACACAUCUUCCCUCCUCUUGUCCUACACCCUCACGCCUCACCUCACCUCUCUCAUCCUGCCUUAUCUCUCUGAACUCCGUCCCUGACCUGACCUCACCCUGCAUAAUUUGCCAGUCCACUCCUUGGAGGUACCUUUUUAAUUCUUCAAAAUCUGCUCUCCUAAAGUCAGGUAUUUUACUAGUGUUUUUGCUUCUAAAAGUUUCUUCCCAUUCUAAAUUGUACCUAAUUUCCCUAUGGUCACUGUUACCUAGCUGUCCUCCAACCUCUACCUGCGUGGCUGCUUCCUCCCUGUUAGUAAGAAUUAAAUCUAGAAUAUUAUUCUCCCUUGUGUGUUCUACGACUACCUUUUUUUUUUAAAUUAU